rnacentral:tRNA from 1 species
GCUUCAUUAGCUCAGUUGGUAGAGCGCUUCACUCGUAAUGAAGAGGUCAUCGGUUCAAGUCCGAUAUGAAGCU